rnacentral:rRNA from 1 species
GGAGGAAAAGAAACCAACAGGGAUUGCCUCAGUAACGGCGAGUGAAGCGGCAAAAGCUCAAAUUUUAAAGCUGGCAUCUUCGGUGUCCGCGUUGUAAUUUUGUGAGGCAUCUCCGGGUAGGGCGCCGGCCUAAGUUCCUUGGAACAGGACGUCAUAGAGGGUGAGAAUCCCGUGCUUGGCUGGCUGUCCCCGUCCAUGUGAGGUGUCUUCGACGAGUCGAGUUGUUUGGGAAUGCAGCUCAAAAUGGGUGGUAAAUUUCAUCUAAAGCUAAAUAUUGGUGGGAGACCGAUAGCGCACAAGUAGAGUGAUCGAAAGAUGAAAAGCACUUUGAAAAUAGAGUUAAAAAGUACGUGAAAUUGUUGAAAGGGAAGCGCUUGAGACCAGACUUCGGUAGGGAGUGAUCAGCUGUCCUUCUGGGCGGUGCACUUGCUCCCCUCCGGGCCAGCAUCGGUUGGGACGGCGGGAUAAAGGUCCCGGGAAUGUGGCUCCUUUCGGGGAGUGUUAUAGCCCGGGUGAAUGCCGCCAGCCCCGACCGAGGACCGCGCCUUCGGGCUAGGAUGCUUGGCAUAAUGGUCUUCAGCGACCCGUCU